CUGAAUUGUCAAACGGGUUGUUGCUGGCCCUCAUAGGGGGCAUGUGCACGCUCUGUUUACACAUCCACUCACACCUGUGCACCCUCUGUAGUUCUAUGGUCUGGGGGACCCUGUCUUCCUUCUGUGGUUCUACGUCUUUACACACACACUGUAAUAAAGUUUUAUGGAAUGUACAUCGCGUCUAACGCAAUACAAUACAA
rnacentral:misc_RNA from 1 species